UACGGAGGGGGCUAGCGUUGUUCGGAAUUACUGGGCGUAAAGCGCGCGUAGGCGGACCUGCAAGUCGGGGGUGAAAGCCCGAGGCUCAACCUCGGAACUGCCUUCGAUACUGCGGGUCUCGAGUCCGGGAGAGGUGAGUGGAAUUCCUAGUGUAGAGGUGAAAUUCGUAGAUAUUAGGAAGAACACCAGUGGCGAAGGCGGCUCACUGGCCCGGUACUGACGCUGAGGCGCGAAAGCGUGGAGAGCAAACAGG
rnacentral:rRNA from 1 species